CAAGAUAGACAUUCACUCUAAAUAGAAUUCUAUUCUUAACAGAAAAAUAAUUAUUAGCAGCAAUUAGUGUUUGGCCAAGCUUUUAAAACCAGCUUCUAAGUAUAUUUUUCUCAAAAAGUAGUUUUGUAAAGAAGCUAUUUUUUUCUUUUUCUCUUCAAAAUUACUUUCUUUUUCUUUUUAAAAAUUUAGCCGAACACCUUAAUUUUUUUUUAAAAAAGCGCUUUUGACCCAAAAAUAGUUUGACCUAACCGGCUAUAAGACUGCCCAAAUCCUGAGGGAAAUCCAAUUAUCAGUUCUAUAGGUAAGACACGUCAGAAUCAGAUUGGCAAUAUUGUGAUCAAGGAUUUUGAGAUUAGGCAAAUGGUCCAACUCUAGGACAUAGAGAAGCUAUCAAGCUAUAAUACAUUCAAGAAUAAAGCCACAAGUCAUUGGUGGAGGUUUAUCUUACGAACUAAAGCAAUAAAGUACUCUUCCAUCUAGUUGAUAGGAUGGACGUAGGUGAUUGUUAUCCGAAAUGAGGGAGUAAUCUGUAUUUCUCAAUGGAGAUUUCAAGGACAAAGUUGUUGUAUAUUCUGCGAAUAAACUUCAGUAUUUGAAAUACUGUUGAAAUAUUGAAAAACUUAUUUCAUGAGUAUUUAAGGUGAAAUAAAUGAUUUUCAACCAUAAAUCUUCAAUUUCAUUUUCAAGUAGAAUUUACAUUUAAAUACAAUUUAAAGUUUCAAAUAAUAUCUCUCCAACUCUAACUUCAAAUAUUCAUUUUUCCUUCAGUCUCAACCAAGUAUUUUCCAAACACUUAUAAAUGCCUAGUUGUUAUCGAGUCCGGAAUCCAAUUGUGGUUCUUUUGGAUUCAAAUUACAUAAAUAAGUGUAAAAAAAAAGUUACCUUUCUAUAUAUAGUACCAAAAUAUACCACACUAUACCUGUCACACCUUCUUUUUUACACACCACCCUGAAGGGUAGUAUAUAAGGGAGUUUUACCAAUUUAAGUGGCAUUAUUCGAAAUGGGAUUAUUUAUUCAAUUUUUCAGAGUCGUCACUUGAGAUGAUUUAUUUUCUGGUGUCCAAAGUCACCGGUUUAUUUCUAAUCCCACAUCGAGGAAAAUUCGACUUUUCUUUUGAAGUCUGCGAACCAGAAAUUCUGAAUAAGGAAUUAUGUUAACCCGGGGGAAGGUGUUAGGUACCCCGGAUUCCGUGGUUCUAGCAUGGUCGCUUAAACUAUUAUAAUCGACUUAUUAUCUGAUUAUAAUACAUGUUUUAGCCUAUAUUAGUUUUUAAACUUAUUAACCGCUUUUAAAUAUUUUUAAGAAGAUUUCUACGUUAUCUAAAACGUAUCUUUGAACCACGGCACAUGAAAUGCACCCGUAGUCCGAGACAUAUUUUAUUUAACGUUGUGAGAUUUGGAUUUAGGUCACAUGAAAUGUGCACCCGAAUUUAGGAAGGUAAAUUAUUAAUAUAACGCGCCUAAAGCAAUUAAGCGUUUUUAACUUUGCGAGGGCCAUGAAAAAUUUGCUAAACGGCACUCCUCGAGUUCUAAGGAUUUUAAAAGAAAUAUUUAAACGAGGACCACGCAUUUGAGAUUUUUAUUUGGCGCGGCGCACCCCAAUUCCAAUUUUAAAAGGGAAUUCAAGCUAAAUGUUUGGGUGGCCAUAAACUAUGUGUGUUAUCUAAUGUGGCUUGCCCCAAUUCAUUUUAAGAAGACCAGCUAACGAAAGGGCGUUGAAGGAAUACUAAUUGCUGAAAAAUCGAAACUACUAAUAGAUCUGCGUUAAACGACUAAGUUAUCAAGCGAAAGGCUAUUCCAACAACACGCUUAAAGAAAGAUGAGGAAUGGGCUUAACAAAAUUGAACAAGCUCAAGUCCAUAAAGUGUGCAAUUCUUAUUUAUAAAUACCUUUUAAGGUGUGGGCCUAGGAGAAGCCCACUUUUAAAGGGAUGAAAAUGUCCAAAAGCAGGUGAUGGUUGCCAAGUCUGUCAUGAGUUUCCUCAAUUGGGCCAACGUUGGGCCCAGUUCUAUGAAUCCCAAAUAUUUGCUCGACCAAAUAAAGGCAAUCAGUCACAAAUUACAGGAAACCUAAGGAAUCAAAUUAAUCAAGUUACUUCUGAACUUCAACUAAUUAAACAAAUUAACAAUUUCUAUCACAUCGCAGUCGAAGAGAACAUCACCACCACAAGAAAAGUCAAAAAUGUUAAUUUAGAAAUGGUUUGAUAAACUUAUAGAUGCCUAGCUAAAAUCCCAGCAUGUAUUCCAUACAAGCAACGACUGUGUUGGCGAAAUGCCAACCUUUUCAAUUUUUGUUUCUUAACAUGAUUCACUACCAAUUUCAAACCAAUGUAUGAAGAAAUAACAUACCAACCCAAACAGGACCAAAUUAGACUCAAAAUUUCAAGGCUAGUAUUCUUAGACAACUAUCAGAACCCUUCCUACUUUACUCAUAUGACCAAACACAACAAUAGGCCUCAUUAAAUGCUUGAAAAUCAAUCCAACACUACCAUGCAAUCCACAAAUUAUUUCCCUAAUGAUAUUCAUAUUUCAAUAGCAAUGAGAAUUCAACUAUAAAGUUCAGCUAUACAUUUUCUAACAAAAUCUUGGAAGUUUAUGACAAAUCUAUAUCUACAAUUUAUUCUAACAGCAACCCAAAAUCCCUGCACCCUUAGUAGUUACAUGAAUCAUUCAAACUGAGCAAGCUAGCUCCUAAAAGACCUCCAGCACAAAGCUCACAAGCUUUCCUUUACUAGUAUUCAUAUGCCAACUUGCCCAUGCUGACACCUUCAAACUUGGAUGACUUAAGCUAAAUUAUGCUAAAAUUUUGAGCAUCAAACAUCAACACAACUAGUUAAAUCAUGUCAGUAUUACAGGUGAAACUAAUUAAGCAUUUUCAGAAGAAAAAAAUGUGGUAGUGUAUCAAACAGUCCUCACAUACAAAAAGUCUCAAAUGUUUUGAAUUAUCUACACUCCAAUAGGAGCAUAUUCAGAUCCUAAGGUGAACAUAAAACAUUAAAUUAGAAAAUGAUAUAGAAGAAAUUCAUAAUAGAACUGCAACUAAUAUAGGAAACAACUUACUAAAGUUUAAACUUCUGAGAUUCCAUUUCCGUUUCAAUCCUCAAUUUGAGUAUUACAUUGUACAAGCUUCAAGAGACAUGUACCUGAAUAUUUGAAAGAGCAAGGAAAGAUGAAGAAUCAAUGAAGGAUCAGCAGUAGCAGAAUAUGAACUUCAGCAACGGGAAAACAGCUAGUGAACUAGUUUCAAACAAACAAUAAUAUGCAGCAGUCCAAAACGAGCUUUAAUAGCAUAGUAACCCAGCAGACCUCAAACCAGACUUUUAAAAACUCGAUUUCAAUCCAUUUUUUAGACCCAAAAUAAAUCAAACAAUGGUUUCAAAGACUGAAAAACCUCGAGAAUUAUAGGAAAGAACUUUAAUGGAAUAGUAUUUUUCUAUAUUUUUCUGCCUGUUUUCAAUUUCUGCAAAAUUUCUCUUUUCAAGUCUCCCCUCUGAUUUGAGCUUAAAGUAGCAAUGUCUUUAUAGGCAAGCUAUUAGGGCAGCUUUAAG
rnacentral:lncRNA from 1 species